GGGGGGUCAAUGUGCAGGUAAAGGGGGUGACCCCCCCCCAAAAAAUAUAAGGUGUUGGGGGGGUCAAUGUGCAGGUAAAAGGGGUGACCCCCCCCCCCAAAAAAUAAGAUUUUAGGGGGGCAAUGUACAGGUGAAGUUUGUGACCCCCCCGAAAAAAAACGAGGUUGGGGGGGAUAAAUCUGCAGGUAAAGGGGGUGACCCCCCCCCAAAAAAAAAUCAGGUGUGGGGGGGUCAAUGUACAGGUAAAGGGGGUGACCCCCCCCC